rnacentral:rRNA from 1 species
AUGGCGUUCAAAAGCGGCGUCACAUACGACCCCGCGGGCCGCCUCGUCUCGUGGCGGCGAGGUGUCGACUGCUGCCGGUGGAGGGGCGUCCGAUGCAGCAACCGGACUGGCCAUGUCGUCGAGCUUCGAUUUGGAUAUACCGAGCUAAUCGACGGCGAACAGUACCCGUACAUGGAAGGCGACGUAAGUCCAUCUCUGUUUUCUUUGGAGCACCUGGAACACCUUGAUCUUGGUGAGACUUCACUGAGUAUUCCAGGUGGCCGUUAUAAUUCCAAGUUAUGGGGAUCUCUUAAGAGCUUGAGAUACUUGAACCUCUCCGGCACAAUAUUACUCGAUGGCGACAAGAUGUUGCCUCAGCUUGGUAACCUCUCUAAGCUCCAAUAUCUCGACAUUUCAUACGCUUCCUACAUGAAUCCUAGUGUAAAACCAACAGAUUUAUCAUGGUUAACACGUCUGCCUUUGCUGCACCAUCUUGACCUGAGCUGGGUAAAUCUUACCAUGGUGCAUGAUUGGCCUCACACCGUGAAUAUGAUUCCUUCUUUGCAAGCUCUCCAUCUUUCUGCCUGUUCACUUCAAAAUGCAAACCAGCGGCUCCCACACCUGAACCUCACAAAACUUGAGUGGCUUGAUCUCAGCAUGAAUGAUUUUGAUCAUCCCUCCGAAUCCUGUUGGUUUUGGAACUUGACAAGCCUCAAGUACCUCAACCUUGGAUCCACUUUUUUAUAUGGUCAAUUUCCUAGCAUGUUGGGGGAAAUGAUGUCCCUUCAAUUCUUUGACUUCUCAGAAAACAUGCAUCUUGAUGGCCAUGGCGGUGGCGUCAUAGCGCCUCGAUUGCUGAGAAACCUAUGCAAUUUGGAAGUUCUAAACCUUGCGAAAGGUCUGUCUUAUGGUAACAUGACAGAGUUAUACGGAAGUUUGCCACACUGCUCUUCCAGUAAACUGCAAAGAUUGGAUUUGCAUAAAAACAAUAUCACCGGGACACUACCAGCUGGGAUUGUCCAAUUUACCAGCUUGGCCAUUCUCGACCUUUCCAAUAACCAUCUGGCAGGAUAUGUGCCUUCGGAGAUUGGUACACUCAGCAAUCUUAUUUUCCUGAACUUGGGAUACAACAAAUUCACAGGUAUCAUCACGGAAGAACACUUCUGUAACUUAACGGCCUUAAAACAUAUAGAUUUGUCCAAUAAUUUCUUGAGGAUUGUGGUAGAUCCUGAUCGACUACCCCCCUUGAAACUAGAGAUCGCAUCUUUUGCAUCUUGCCAAAUGGGUCCUGGUUUUCCUGCCUGGCUUCAACGGAUGUCUGGUGUUUAUAUCAUCGAUAUGUCAAACACGGGUAUAACCGGUCCGUUUCCGUACUGGUUCUGUGCAACACUUUCACUCGCUAAAGGUUUGGACAUGUCUGACAAUCAAAUCAAUGGAAGCUUGCCAAAGAACAUGGAAAUCAUGUCAUUGGGGUAUCUCUCCCUAGAUAGAAACCAAAUAGUCGGUGAAAUACCAACAUUGCCGAGAAACCUCACUGAUUUUUCCAUCUCAAACAAUGAUUUGUCCGGUCAAGUUCCAGGAUCUAUAUGCAAAUCCAGAGAGUUGCUGAGGUGA